UCCCGCUCCCAAAAUCCCAAAACUGAAUCGUCAUUUUCAUCAUCUCUCUAUCGAAAAUGGCGCCGCCAAUGGAAGUGUUUGACGGCGGAGGUGCUGUGAUAAGGCGAAUAAUCCGAACCUUCCGCUCUCAUCUCAGACCUCUUCCACAAAUCCCAACCUAUGUGCACCCAGGUAAAUUGGAAACGAGAUGAAUACAGAGGUUAAACGAGCAUCCCACACCCAAAAGGUUCCCCACAUAGGUCUUCACCUAAACCCCCCAGUAACUAAGGUAAACGACGUAAAAAAAAAGCACCCAUUUCUAUGAUUUUCGAAAGUCUGAAGAUGAAUAGUGGUUCCAAAGUCUAUGUUUGACAAAAUUUCAUUUCCUAUAGAAUCUGAUUCAAACAUAGGUGGAAUUAGUUGAAUGACAACGAUUGCCACAUAUCCAUAUCACUCAUGAUAUAUUAGUGUAUGGUUAGAAGGUAAGUUUGUGUUUGGAGUUAUAGUAAAUUUGGUGAAAUUACCGAAAUAUGUAACUUUAUCAAAUUCACCGAAAUUUCAAAUAUGCGCACUAAGAUUUCCAGGGUGGUGCUAAAGUUCUAUCAGGAAGCUAUUAGCUUCAAAUUCACAUUUAAUAUGAUUUGAUUGGAUGCAUGUGUAAAAAACUUUUACACCGUCAAUGUAUAGCAAUUAAACUCUAUAUAUUUCCCUUUUCUGUUAUGAGUUUUAUAUUUUGAUGAAUAUGAAAAUCUUUGGCUUAAAAUAUCACAUUAUAACAAUUCUCAAUUAAUGAAUACCUGUGAGUUCUGCACUUUUGCUUUGAUUUUGGACCGAUGAGUUAUGGCAGCAGCAGUUAUUGCUUCAGCUUGAUCUAAAGGCACUCCUUGUCCCUAAAGUGUCAACCUGCACAAUACACAACAACAAAGGAUGCAAAAAUUAAGCCAAAAUGAAUCAGUACAUUCAAAAUAGUUAAGUUUGUACAUGUUUGCAAUUUGGUUCUGCUUUAAGAACUUCUGGUGCUGAACCUGUAAGUGUUAAAUUUUUAUUUCUUUGAAGUUAGCCUUGUUGUAGAAGAAGUUACUUUAGUGAAGGUUUAAAUGAAUGGUAAUGAAUCAUGAUUCACUUCUCUAAUAAUUUGUAACCAUUUUCAACUAAGAGUAAAUUAGAUCCACAGGCUAGUCAUAGGUUGAGAAAUGGUAAUGUUGAGUAAAUUAUUAUAAGCAAAUAUUCAUUUUUAAUAUUUAUUGAAUAACUGAUGUAACCAGAUACAUCAAUUAUUCAAUGAAUCUGAAAAGCAACUUUUUAGUUGUAAUAGUGGCCGGAGGGAGUAUAACCUAAGCUUCUUCUUUUUCGUUUUUUUUGACACACCUAAACUUCUUUUUAUCUCUCUUUUUUUAUUUUAAUCUUGUUUCUUUAGGCAAUUUCUAUUAGUUGCUUUGACAAGUGUGACUAUCUACCUUCAAUCUUAGUUUUUUUGUUCUAACAUGUGAAAGUAUUGCAACGAUGGUAAAUGUGUUUAUCUGAAAUGCGAAAAUUAUUUCUUUGUUGUAUCUGAAAUGAUUUUUCAUUUCUUAUACUUAAGAAGUUCCAGUACUUAUAAUUUUCUUAUUUUAGUUUCUACAUUGUUCUAUUCUGUUUCCAAUCUUUGCUUACAUUAUUGUUGUGACGUAUAUUGUUGAUCUAGCAUAUAAGAGCUAAGGCCUAAGUCACUACUACUUAAAAUUUGAUGAAAUAAUCCCCAAAAAUGAAUCUAAACCCCAAGAUGAAUCAGAUAUAUUCUGGUAGUUUAAUAAUGCAAAAUUCAGAUUAGGUUAGUAAAAUUCUGGAUCAAAAGUAUAAGUCCUCAUGUUGUUACUUGCGUUGUUUAGAAGCUUAUGUUAUUAUUUAGUUCACUAAGAAAUUCAAUGAUUUUUAACUUUUAAGUUGAUUUGCAAAUUAUUUGUAGAUUAUGUAACUAGUUCAUAUUUGAUUUUGCAUACCUUUGGAUUACUAGUUAGAUUAUGUAAAUAGUUCAGAUUUGAUUCUUAUGCACUAAGAAGAUAACUAUGAUACAUUAACACUCUCACUGGCUUUAGAAUGAGGUUGAGUAUCUAUAGGAAAUGCAAUUUUGUCAAACAUAGACUUUGUAUGAUAUAUUUAGUUUGUCUGGUUAUGACAAAGAUUUGCGAAUUGGUUCUGCUUUAAGAACUUCGUGCUGAACCUGUAACUGUUAAAUUAGUUUUAUUUUUUGAUGAAUAUUAAAAUCUUUGUAUUUUGAGUUGUUUUUAUGCUUCUGGUGUUCUUACUUAGUUCAUUCAUUUCUUUUUAACUUACUACUAUAUUUCGAUGUCAGGUUUGAAAGAAAAGGGAACAUUCUCAACUUGCUGUUAAGUAUUGUCAUGAGAAUGGAUUCAAAUUUUUCAAUGCAUGAGAAAAUACUCGAUCUAUUUGAUUUUGUCCUCUCUCUGUUCUCUGAUGGAUUUCGUCCACAACUUACUACUAUAUUUCCAUGUCAGUUUUGAAAGAAAAGGGAACUUUCUCAACUUGUUGUGAAGUAUUGUCAUGAGCUGUUACCAUCUGGAAGUAAUGCUUCAUGUUUGUUAGUGAAAGAUUAGAGUAGAAGAAAAAUGCUAAGGAGAAGGCUUUAUGUUCUCUCGACUUCAAUCAUCAGAAGUUCGAUUCAUAAUUUGUUGCUUUCUAAAUAUCGUUAAUUUGAUUCAUCUUCAUCAAUGGUCACUCACAGUGAUUGAGCUUUGCAUUUAGUUGAGGUAUAUAUCUGUACAAUCGCCGCGUUUGCUAAACUCACCGACACAUUUCAUAUUUUUUCAGGUUAGUUUUUUUGUUUUAACAUGUGAAAGUAUUGCAUUGAUGGUAAAUGUGUUUAUCUGAAAUGCAAAAAUAAUUUCUUUGUAGUAUUUAAAGGUAAUGUCUCCACAUUUCUUCUAGAACUUAUAAUUUUCUUAUUUUACUUUGAUGUACCACAUGUAAAACAUGUCAAUUUCUUUGUAUAUUCAAAAGGAAAAUCAC